rnacentral:rRNA from 1 species
UACUAAGGGGGCUAGCGUUGCUCGGAAUCACUGGGCGUAAAGGGUGCGUAGGCGGGUCUUUAAGUCAGGGGUGAAAUCCUGGAGCUCAACUCCAGAACUGCCUUUGAUACUGAGGAUCUUGAGUUCGGGAGAGGUGAGUGGAACUGCGAGUGUAGAGGUGAAAUUCGUAGAUAUUCGCAAGAACACCAGUGGCGAAGGCGGCUCACUGGCCCGGUACUGACGCUGAGGUGCGAAAGCGUGGGGAGCAAACAGG